rnacentral:tRNA from 1 species
GCUCUCGUGGCGGAAUUGGCAGACGCGGCGGUCUCAGACACCGCUCCCAUACGGGAUGCAGGUUCAACUCCUGCCGAGAGCA